GCCCGAGUAGCGUAUCCUGGUAAGCGCACCGGCCUGUGGAGCCGGAGGACCGGGUUCAAAUCCCGGCUCGGGCC
rnacentral:tRNA from 1 species